UUUCUCCUUCAAGCACCACUCCUUGGAGCUGAAUUCAGACCCCAUGGUUCAGACUCCAAAUGGUACAUACAUUUAGCCUGUGUUUUGGGGGGUGGCUCCAUGCCUUCUAGCUUUCUGUAACUAAAGGAGCAUUGAAUUAUUUCUACUCUUAGCCUUGUGGGAAAUGGCUUUUAUGUUUGCCAGGGUUGAGAAGACUUUUCCCUCUAUGUAACUUCAUCACUUCCAUGCUCCUGAGAUGCUGCUACUGUGUAACAUACCAUGUGGUGACAGUAGUGUAGGACGGAUUCUGAAUGUUCAUCCUUCCCCAUGGCAGAUAAAAAGAGAGGAGUCUGUCCAAGACGGCUUAAGCAGUCUAAAAGGCAAGUGGAAACAAAAGAUAUUUAUAAAUCCAUCAGAGUAUUGUGAACGCAGUGACAGCCUGUGCAGGGGGAGUGUUGGUAAGAAAGCCCUCUCCUGGAAAACUUCAUGCCCACCAGUCCCUGCCUAGGACAUUCAAGAUAGAACUCGGCCACAGCUGCUGCAGAUGGCUGGCUGGGGUUGAGUGGGGUUGUCUGCCUGUUGCACUGGCAUUCUGAAUCCUCUGGGGUUUUUUGGAACAUCUGGGAGCGAAGGAAAAGAGAAGAAGGGGUGCAUGGAUGAUCAUCUGAAUACACUUAUUCCUCUGAAAUUCUUGCUCAAAACGUGCUUCUAUUGUGAUUAUAACCUGGCAUUAAUUCAGUGCUAAAGGCCAGGCUGUUCACUGGAGAUCACUAAUGCUUAUUUAACUUUAAUUUGGGGUCACUGUGCUACAUGCUAGUUAACUUCAUAUUUGUGGACUUUUCUUUUCCUGAUCCCAACUCCCUUCCCUCUUACUUCUUGGAAUGGCCCCUGCCAUUUCCAGGCAGUCUGCCUGCUGGUAUAUUGCCUAACACUGAUGUAUUGCUCUUAGCAGAAUUCAAGAGCUCCUGCUGCUGAAGGAAUACCAAAGGACAAAUCACAGCUGGCAUGCACCCACAGGCAAACCCAAGCACGAGGCACCUGCCAAGUUUCUUCCAACGCCGCCAAAGGGCCCUAUACAGGCCUUUUCUUUCUGAAACACACCAAUGAGUUCAGCUGCCUCCUCUUCGUCCCGGACGUGAUAUGGUGCCUGGAAGCCGCUCUGCCUUGAGAAGAAGGCUGGGAACUCCCUUGAUUCUCCAAAAGCAGCCACACAGACUCCCUGUGUCUCCUGCAGCAGUGGAGGGGGUUUGGCUCGACCAAGAAAACCGAUACUGAUACACCAGUUAUAUGCCUCUUAUUACAACUUUGUUGAAUAAGGAACAUCAAAAUCCACCACCUCAGAUUCUGAGGAUAGGCCAUGCCAU